GACGAACGCUGGCGGCGUGCUUAACACAUGCAAGUCGAACGGAAAGGCCCUUCUUUUUUGGGAUGCUCUAGUGGCGAACUGGUUAUUAACUCGUUAGUCACCUUCCCUUGUUUUUGUUAUAACUUCAUGAAACUGGGGCUAAUACCUGAUACGACCUCCUCCUGCAUGGUGGGGGUUGGAAAGUUUCGUCGGUUGGGCAUGGACUCUGGUCUUAUCACCUUGUUGGUUGUGUAGUUGCUUACCAUGGCCUUGACGGGUAGCCGGCCUGAGAGGGUGACAGGGCACAUAGGGACUGGGAGACGGCCAAGAGUGGAACGGGAGGCAGCAGUGGGGAAUAGAGCAAAAUGGGCGGAAGCAUGAUGGAGCAACGCCGGGUGGGGGAUGACGGCCUGGGGGUUGUAAACCGCUUUAGGCUGUGACGAAGGGGGAGUGACGGUAAUGGGUAAAGAAGCACCGGCUAACUACGUG
rnacentral:rRNA from 1 species